GAUGCGUCUUUCAUGUAGAUCCCGUCAGCUUCACCCUCCCAGUGAACCCCCGCCCCGCCGCGCUCCGCCGUCAGGACUACAAAGCCGCACGUGGAGGCGCGCCCGCGCGGGGAGGAAGCAGCUAUUUCCGGCGGCGGGGGGCGCAUUGUUCCCUUCCAGCACGCGCCGCGCGUGCCGAGGCGGGCCGAGCGCCGCAGGCUGACACGCACCACGGCAGCUUCCGAAAGAGACUGACUCAGACUUUUAUUGUGGCGAGGAUGAGCAUGUGUCCAUCGCUGCCCUGGGCAUCAGGUCACCGCUCCCCGCUGCUUGGCUUCUCACCAGGUUACCAUGGCGACGCGGCGUGGGCAGAGGAGCAGAGUGAACCAGCGAGUGUUAAAGAUGAAGAUGAAAGGAGGUAGAAGGCUGUAAUCAGAUUGUCUCCUUUGGUCGCGCCUCGGAUCCAUCUUCUCCCCUCCACCGGCCCAUGUCCCACAUACCCGAGCCCACCACCACAUAAAUCACAAUUGGCCACAAGUCACCUCUCAUUGCGGCGCCCGGCAACAGAUCCGCAGGAGAGGGGAGAGAGCGUGGGAGAGAGAGGCUGCCUGGCUCCCGGCCGCGGCCCCGGCCCGGGCCUGUGGGAUGGGAGGGAGCGCUCCGAGGUCCCACUCACUCCAUCCCACUUCCACAGUUAACUUUGAGGAGCUGCGGCUUCUUUACAGAUAUACUUUCUUACAUCGCGGCCAAAUGAAGACGGAUUGGAGGUUAACGGCGUAAUGAUUCUGUUUCACUGGCACCUCGCCGCCGCUCCUUCUCGGUGGGAAAACCCUGCGGCUGAAGGACGGCUCCUCUCGUGCCUGUGACUUUCUUUGCGCCUCCUGUCGACCGGUCCCUCCGUCGUAUCCCUUCACUCCCAGCGCUCCGGCCUCUGUGCCCGUCCACGGGGAAGCGAAUGGAAAAAGGCAGGUUCGAGCGGCCGAGGAGGAACCGCUGAAGUGGUUCAUAAUUAGAAAACAGCUCAUAAUUACAGUGUGAUCACAGGCUGUUAGCGCUCUCCCUCGGCCGCCCUGUGUGCGGUCUGUGCGUGUCAGCUUCCCUCAGAGGGUCAGGCUGAGGUCGCGGGUAGCAGAUGCACCACCCCAUGCUGCUUCUAUACCAGCUGGGUGCUCUGUCAAGAUGCUAUUAGUCACGAUCGGGGAAGCGAGCGAGCGCACGCUGCACCAGGAAAACAAAUGUUAAUGAUGCUUAUAUUUUUAAUCCACGUUGCUUUGUUUACCUUUGGGGACUCGAACCCUGGGUAUGUAAACCAUUCAUUUCUUGCCUUGGACUCCUGCUUGGCCUUUUGUAAAUGUUGUGAAAGGCUUUUCAGGUUGCCGCCGUGCGAGGCGCUUACCUGGGUCACUCGCCAGACAGAUGCAGAUCGGCCGGUUCCUCUGUUGGCCAUUUGGCCCCGACUCCCUCCCCGCGACGCUGGAGCAUGUUAGUGACAAUGGCCACAGGAGUGGAAAGUGGACAUCUGGUGCACCUGUCCAGCGCCGCGCACUCUCCACAUCACGGUCGUGCUCGCUGAAGCUUGGGGGUCUCUGAGAGCCGACAGACCAACUGUUUGACCAUAUGGAUGGAAGUUACAGCCCCCCCACCUGCCCGAGCAUCCCUCCUCACCACAGCGCUCCUGCUGACUUGAUCGUUCCUUUUAAUGAACCGCUGGGUUCACCUGCACCAGAGUGGAAAUUCCACCCUCGUCAUCCCCCGUGUGCCACGCUGACUUUUAUUUCCUGCUCCAGGUGGAGGUUGAGGCUCGCGAUGCGCGGACGCUGUAGGAUGAGGUGAGAUUUGAAUCGUUCCGCUGCUGAAGUGGAGCCGCUGCAUGAGCAAAUGAGCGACGGAGCAACUUUAAAGAUAAAUUGAGAUCCAGAUGAAGCAUUUUCCGUGGAUCCUCUUGAAACUGAAAUAACAGCCCAAUGACGUUGCACCAUGAGGAGGCGGGCGCUUCCUGAAACUAACUAAUUCACUGUUUGUUCAUCUCUGCUGAAAAUUUGCUACCCUGUGAUAAUUGUUUAACCUGUACAGAUUAUUUUGUGUCGGUUGACGUGAAGCUUUGCUGGAAACGUCCCUGACUCAGUUCAAUGUACAGCUGCAACUAGUUGAUGUGGAAUCGGUGCUUAUUAAAGUGGCAUCAGGUCACAGCAAGGAGCAUGGUCAUUGCAGUGGGUGUUUGCGAUCCACUGAUCUAAUGUAGCCUUUACUAUAAUAAAAUAUGUAAGACUGUAAACAGAAUCAAUGUUCAUCCAUGAUCAUGAGCUGUGUUUGCGCUCGUCACUUUCAGGAGAACGCAGGUGUCCAUAAUAUGACAGGCACUGAAAAAGGUACUGAAACUUAUGGAAUUAAUAAAAAAGGGGCAGGUCAAUUAAAAUGUGAUACAAAUGUACAGCUUUAAAUAAGGAGGCAUCAGGUGUGAGAGAGAGUGAGGUUAGUGUAACAAUGGAGGCAGAGCACAGGUUUCAUGAUUCUCCUGAGAACUCCCUUCUUUUAAAGGAAGAAACCUCCAUCAGGACCAGCUCAAUGUAAACGGGUUCAGUUCAGACUCACACAUCGUACUUAUAGUUGAGGCAGUUUAAUGUGUUAUGACUUAGUUUAAUAGGAUAUUGUUCAUUUUGCAUAUUAUGGUACAGAUACAGUUUUGUAUGACACUGUGUUGUACGGUAUUAUAUGGUACUUUAUGGUGUGAUGUCAUUAUAUGUUUUUACCUUUACCUUUUUGUACCACUAACCAUCACUGCUUCUCUCUGUCUUUUUCUUUAUGUUACAUCUUCCUCCAUCCUGCUCCAGAAGCCUUUGGAACUGCACAGGUCCCUUUGUAAAGGAAUGAGCCCUGUACAAAGAGAUUGGAGAGGGAGAAGAUAAAGAGUACACGAGGGCAAGGAAGUAUUAUUAGUAUUAUUAAUUACUAUAAUCCAGGAGGGAGAAUAACGGUGGAAAGGUUGGAGACAUAACUUUAUUUGGAGUGUGGGGAUUUUAAUUAACAUGUAAUGUGGAGUGUGGACAAGGACAGAAGUUAUCACUUUCCGAUUCAGAGUAUAGUAUUCAGGACGGACGCUGUCACCACUACUACUACUACUACUAAGUAUGAGGGGAAGUGGGUUCUGGAGAAAAUAAGGGCAGGGUUUAAAGAAGAGAGUGAUGUUAGUAGAACAUGUUAGUAGAAACCUAGAGGUUGAAGAACUUGAUAGACAAAUUAGGGGAAAAACCAUAGAUGCAGAUAGGUUUAUACUGAAAAGCCAAGAAAGAGGUAGAAGGUGAUAAAUCUAAUUGAAUAUGAAACAGGGAACAGGUCAGUGAUAAGGAAAUACAGGAUCCGCCUCAUAUAUUGUUUGAUGUUUUGUGUGUGGGGAACUAAAAUCAGUUAUGAAAUAAUAGGACUGUUUAAAAUGGAGGUGGUCCAGAUGAUGAAGCUUCUGUUAGAUGUUUAUUUCAUAGUGAUCAUCAGGUCACAUCAUGCCAAGUUAGGUUUUUUUGUUUCUCCUCUAAGGUGGAAGAGGUUGACAUCCUCCUUCCUCAGUGAUUGCUGGAUCAUCCAUACUUUGAUGAAGUCAGACCAGAAACAGAGACUGAUCGAGUAUCUUUGAGCAAGGUGAGACACGUGGAGGCGAAAAGAUCUGUUUCCGUUUAAGCCAGAAACGUAAAGGUUUGUUUUUUCUCCUGAUGAACCUCU